CCGGCGUAGAGGGUAAGACCCCCGUAGUCGAAACGUCAGCGGCUCGUUUGAGAGACACCCAAGUAGCACGGGGCACGAGAAAUCCCGUGUGAAUCUGGCGGGACCACCCGCUAAGCCUAAAUAUUCCCUGGUGACCGAUAGCGGAUAGUACCGUGAGGGAAUGGUGAAAAGUACCGCGGGAGCGGAGUGAAAUAGUACCUGAAACCGUGUGCCUACAAGCCGUGGGAGCGUCGGAUGGAAGCUUGCUUCCAUCUCGUGACUGCGUGCCUUUUGAAGAAUGAGCCUGCGAGUUUGCGGUGUGUUGCGAGGUUAACCCGGGUGGGAAGCCGUAGCGAAAGCGAGUCCGAAUAGGGCGUUUACAGUAGCACGCUCAAGACCCGAAGCGGAGUGAUCGUAGCCA
rnacentral:ncRNA from 1 species